rnacentral:lncRNA from 1 species
CGCAGCCCGGCCGCCCGUGUGCCCCAGCAAAGCCCGCGGAGCACCCAGGACCCCCGCGCCCCUGCAGAGGCCGGGCUCACGUACUUGGCCUGUUUCCCAGCCGGGCCUCUGCUCUAGCACAGCUCUUGCCCUGUGUCCCCAGGGCCGACGGUCAAAGUAGGCAGGUGUGCCCUCAACACAGACACGCACAGCGCCCACAGGGGGUGACGCUCAAGCCCCGAGUGAGGCCCGCACCCAUGGGAUGACUGUGCCGAGCGCCCACCAUGGCACGUAGGGCGCCGCUGCAGCCACCCCGGCGGGGGCCCUGCACCACCCCGCGGCCCCCUGAGGCCUGUGUGGGGCUGGCGGCCGGGAGCUGCACGCUUGGAGGUGGUGUCGCUGUCCUGUCGCCUGAGGUGCCGCAUGUUCAGCCUCAGUUUGCCCCAAACAUUAACCAAAUCCCACGUCUCCAAGGGAGAGACUGGGUUUCAAUGUUUCCACCUUCCCACCAAGAACAAAAGCCAGAGGAACCCCAAAUGGAGGCUAUGCCCCACGGGGCGGGCCGGGCCCGGGUGCAUUUCACUUUGUCUUCAGUGUGGCCCGGGAUUCCGCGGAAGAAGUGAUGUGUUUGAUUCCGACGCCAGCAGCAGCCAAGCUCCUUACAGGAGGAGGAGGAGGGACCUGUCACCAGGGACCGGCCUGUGGGUUGGGAGCCGCUGGGGAGAAGAAUGCGCCUGCCUGCUCCCCUGCCCCAGCCGCUGAGCAGAGGCUGCGGGGCCUGCAGCCUGGGAGGAAGGCGGCAGCGCCUUGGUUGCUCCAAGGCCGGGCCGGGGCGCCCCUGACGACCCAGGAGGGGAGGCCCGGGGUGAGGGGUGCGACGCCUGGCGAGGAGCCCUCACGUGGGGGGCCUCCCUCACCCGCUGGUCCAGCCGCAGAGAGCUGGGCCACAGAGACCCAGGACCUGGGCAGCAGCCUGUAUGGGUGGGUCUCGUGUCCCUCCCUGUCCCCCAUGUUCCCUCCUGUGUCCCCCGUCCCCCCAUAUCUCCCCGUAUCCCCUGUCCCCUGUCCCUCCCUGUGCCCCCACCCCCAUCAGCAGGUCGGAACCACUUCCCAGCAUGGUCCUGCGGCCUCCACCGGGCCUCCUGCAUCCUGCACAGGUGCCCCUCGCGCCCGGGCCUGGGCCGCUGAGCCCGCUGAGCCCGCUGAGCCCGCUGAGCCCCGUGGAGGUCCCAACCCCGACAGCGCUCCCGAGCACCUGCGGACGGCGGGCCGUGCUGCAGGGCUUGGUGCACUGGCCUCAUCCUUGCACGGUGCAAGCGGCAUCCUCACAGCUCCUCUCCCUCAAGGCUGGGCCGCAGCAGUGCCACGGGGCAGGGGUCAACCCGGGUCACGGCAGCGGAGAACGGCGUCUGCCCAGGAAGGAGCGGCCGAGGGUGCGGGUUGGCCUCCAGGUCAGCCUCUGGGUCGGUUUCUGGGCAGGCGGCAGGUGCACGCGGCCACCCACCUGCUCUCCCCCCACGCACUGCACCCGCCCACCCGCGGCUUGGUCCUCGUGGCCUCCUUGGGCGAGGACGGUGACCAUGAACCUUCUGGGGUCACCCGGGCACGGCAGGCUGCAGGUGCGGCUGCCCGGGGCUCUCUGCGCCUCGACUUGGCGGCCUUGGCGUCUGUGCCCUGGGGUCCCCUCCCGCGCCCACAGCGACGCCUCGUUCAGAUGCCCGUCGCCCCAUCGGGGCCCCGGGAAGGCUGCUCCCCGCCUGCAGGUGUGGGGCUGUGUGGGCCCAGGGCUCCCCAUCUGCAGGGGUGGAGCUGUGGGGGGG